UACGGGGGGGGCAAGCGUUGUUCGGAAUUACUGGGCGUAAAGGGCUCGUAGGUGGCCAACUAAGUCAGACGUGAAAUCCCUCGGCUUAACCGGGGAACUGCGUCUGAUACUGGAUGGCUUGAGUUUGGGAGAGGGAUGCGGAAUUCCAGGUGUAGCGAUGAAAUGCGUAGAUAUCUGGAGGAACACCGGUGGCGAAGGCGGCAUCCUGGACCAACACUGACACUGAGGAGC
rnacentral:rRNA from 1 species